rnacentral:tRNA from 1 species
CGCCAACAGUAGGGAUUGAACCUACGCCCUCAAAGAGGAAAGCAUGUUUGCAAAACUUUAAGAGUUUCAUAGCAAUGCUUCGCCUUAACCACUCGGCCAUAUUAGC